rnacentral:misc_RNA from 1 species
UAAAUUCUAUAAUUAAUUUUAAUUUCAUAAUUCAGUUAAUCAUCUAAUCUUUUAACUCACAUUGCGCCCGCCAGUAUUCUGGCGGGCAUGCCUGUCCGAGCGUCAUUUCAACCAUCAAGCCCCCGUGCUUGUGUUGGGGACCUGCGGCUGCCCGCAGGCCCUGAAAACCAGUGGCGGGCUCGCUGUCACACCGAGCGUAGUAGCAAUCACCUCGCUCAGGGCGUGCUGCGGGUUCCGGCCGUUAAACAGCCUUACAAAACCCAAGGUUGACCUCGGAUCAGGUAGGAAGACCCGCUGAACUUAAGC